UUGCGCAUGGGCGAAGCCUGACGCAGCCAUGCCGCGUGAAUGAUGAAGGUCUUAGGCAUUGUAAAAUUCUUUCAGUAGGGACGAUAAUGACGGUACCUACAGAAGAAGCCCCGGCUAACUUCGUGCCAGCAGCCGCGGUAAUACGAAGGGGGCUAGCGUUGCUCGGAAUUACUGGGCGUAAAGGGAGCGUAGGCGGACAUUUAAGUCAGGGGUGAAAUCCCAGAGCUCAACUCUGGAACUGCCUUUGAUACUGGAUGUCUUGAGUAUGAGAGAGGUAUGUGGAACUCCGAGUGUAGAGGUGAAAUUCGUAGAUAUUCGGAAGAACACCAGUGGCGAAGGCGACAUACUGGCUCAUUACUGACGCUGAGGCUCGAAAGCGUGGGGAGCAAACAGGAUUAGAUACCCUGGUAGUCCACGCCGUAAACGAUGAUUGCUAGUUGUCGGGUUGUUUACAACUCGGUGACGCAGCUAACGCAUUAAGCAAUCCGCCUGGGGAGUACGGUCGCAAGAUUAAAACUCAAAGGAAUUUGACGGGGAA
rnacentral:rRNA from 1 species